rnacentral:tRNA from 1 species
GGGGAUAUAGUUUAAUGGAAAAAUUAUAAUAUUGCACAUUAAGGUUCUAAGUUCAAGUCUUGGUAUCUCCA